GAUGAACGCUGGCGGCGUGCUUAACACAUGCAAGUCGAACGAUGAAGCCCAGCUUGCUGGGUGGAUUAGUGGCGAACGGGUGAGUAACACGUGAGUAACCUGCCCUUGACUCUGGGAUAAGCCUGGGAAACUGGGUCUAAUACUGGAUAUGACUUCUCAUCGCAUGGUGGGGGGUGGAAAGAUUUAUUGGUCUUGGAUGGACUCGCGGCCUAUCAGCUUGUUGGUGAGGUAAUGGCUCACCAAGGCGACGACGGGUAGCCGGCCUGAGAGGGUGACCGGCCACACUGGGACUGAGAAACGGCCCAGACUCCUACGGGAGGCAGCAGUGGGGAAUAUUGCACAAUGGGCGCAAGCCUGAUGCAGCGACGCCGCGUGAGGGAUGACGGCCUUCGGGUUGUAAACCUCUUUCAGUAGGGAAGAAGCGAGAGUGACGGUACCUGCAGAAGAAGCGCCGGCUAACUACGUG
rnacentral:rRNA from 1 species